rnacentral:lncRNA from 1 species
GUGAAAUUCACACAACAUAAAAUUAAUCAUUUUAAAGUAAAUAUCUCACUGACAUUUAAUACAUUUGCAUGUUGUGCAACCACCACCUCUAUCUAGUUCCAAAACAUUUUCAUCACUCCAAAAUGAAACCCCACACCCAUGAGGCAGUUACUCCAUAUUCCCUCCUCUUCCCAGCUGUUGGAAACCACCAACCUGCUUUGUGUCAGUGUGGAAUUACCUAAGAUGAACAUUACAUUAUGUUCUAUGCAAUUUUCUUCUUUCUUGUAAUGUCUGCUUGGUUUUCAUAUUAGCACAAUGUUGGAAGUGCAAAAAUAAUUCAGUGAUUAAGAUAGCAUAGUAUUGGCAGAUGAAUAGACCCACAGAUCGAUGGGAUAGAGAAUCCAUAAAUAAUCACACUAAAAAGGCCAACUGAUUUUUAAAAGAAGUGCAAAAGCAGUUCAAUGGAGAAAACGUAGGCUUUUCCAUCACUGGUGUUGGUGCAAUUGGACAUCCGUUAGCAAAACAAAAAAAAGAAUCUCAACCUAAACCUCACAACUUUUGUAUAAGUUAACUCAAAUGAAUCACGGAUACAGAAGGUAAACUUA